UCCUGCUCCCGCCCCAGCAGCACACUGUGGUUUGUACGGCACUGUGGCCACGUCCAAACCACACUGUGGUGUUAGAGCGAGGGUGGGGGAGGCACCGCCGAGGC
rnacentral:pre_miRNA from 1 species